GAAAAAUAGAGCAAUAAAUCAAAUAACACAAUAAGUUACUGCCUCCCUAACUAUUUUUAAAAGCAGAACUACAGAACAACAAAAAAAUAAUUUAAGCAACUUAGCAGAAUUGCAGAAAAAGUGAAAAUAAAAAUAAAGAAAAUAAAACAGAGCAAAGGAGGACAUGUUUCGGAAAAACAGAAAAAAAAAAAAAAAGAAUAGCUGAAGAUGAUGGAGAAACAGAGGAAAGAAGAAGAAAAGCAUAGCAAAAAAGGGAUAAUCUACCAGUUCUUGUGUCUAAUAAAUAGAUUUAACAUUUCUUGUUUUAUAUGUGCAGGUGCUCUUCGACAUUCUUUACAGGAUAGACUUAGCAAAAUUUCAAGCAAAAGUCGUGAUGAAAUAUAUUUGAAAGAAGAAGAAAAACAGCAUAGAUAGGAAGAAAGAAGAAGAAAAAUAGAGCAAAGAGGAAGAAAGAAAAACAUAGCAAAGAAGAAGAAAGAUAAACAGAGCAAAGAAGAAAGAAAGAAAAACAGAGCUGGGGCCUGGGUGAAACCGUGAAAGAUAAAAGAAGAAAGAAGAAAGAAGAAAGAGGAAAGAGGAAAGAAGAAAGAAGAACAUACCUGACUGGUGCUGGUCGCAGACGAUGGAAGAAGAAGAAGAUGGAGCCAAACCCUAAUUUUUGUCGAUUGGAGCAACUGAAGGAAGCUGACUGUUUUAAUUUGUCUGUAUAAUCAAAAUAGUGACGCCUCUCCUCGCCACUCGUAACAGAAGCAGAGGCGCACGCUAUUCUGCCUCGCAACACAACAGUCCCCUGUGUGGCGCUAUAGCCUCGCUUCGCCUCGCUACACGCCUUUAGCGCUGUAGCGAGCGCUAUUUACAACACUGUCUAAACGUGCUUUCAGUCGAACAAUAGCAACUGGUAGGAGCAGUAAUGUACACAAAAACUCGAUGGUUUGUCUUUUAUUCUCCAUCGCAGCUCAAUCAUUUGUGUUUAUCGUCCUAAUUUCGCUCUUUCCACUGAAUCAUCAUAAUUGUGUAGUAACUAUUUUCAUCUCCAUUUCACAGUCUUCUCUAAUGCCUCUGACGUCCGACUCCUCCGAUGAUGAUCAAAAUCCUAAAGCUAACCCUAACCCUAGCUCAAUUGAUUCGUCUUUGGACGUAAUCGAGAAUCGAUUAGCUUCAAGCUCAAAAGUUAAGGACAAUAGGUCCUAAACUUAGACUAAGAAGCUCAAAAGUUAAGUACAAUAAGUUAUAAACUUAGGAUAAGAAGCCCAAAAUUUAAGAACAGUAGGUCCUGAACUUAGACAAACAAGCUCAAAAGUUAAGGUCAGUAGGUCCUGAAGUCCUGAACUUAGAGUUACAAGUUCAAAAGUUAAGGACAUAUAGUCCUGAACUUAUAGUUACAAGUUCAAAAGUUAACAUAUAGUCCUGAACAUAGAGUUACAAGUUCAAAAGUUAAGAACAUAUAGUCCUGAAGUCCUAAAGUUAAGUUCAAAAGUUAAGGACACGAGCAGAAGGGUGUUUUCGUCCACGCAGUUAAAGCUUAUUAAAGUAGUAGCUAAAGACUAAAAACAUUUUAAACAGUGGCUUAAAAGUAAAUACAUGUGUUAUUAGUAGCUAACCGUGCACUUCCCUCCAUGUAGAAAUGACGUGGGAUAGCCACUAUUUAAUUUUAAGGUGGUGUUUAUUUUUUAUCCAUCAAUUCUAAUGUUGAGAAAAAUAGCCACUACUCUAUUAAAAUUAAUACGAAAAGAUAUUUUACCAUUUCUUCCAUUGCUUUUCUUCCCAAACCCUCGCUUCACCAACCGUUAGAAGCUGGAAAAUAAUCAUCUAAACGUGCUUUUAGUCGAACAAUAGCAAUUGGUAGGAGCAGCAAUGUACACAAAAGUUCGAUUUCCAUUUCUCUUUUAUUCUCCAUCACAGCUCAAAUCAUUUGUGUUCAUCAUCCUAAUUUCGCUAUUUCCACUGAAUCAUCACAACUCUGUAGUAACUAUUUUCAUCUCCCAUUUCACAGUCUUCUCCAAUACCUCCGAAGUCCGACUCCUCCAAUGAUGAUCAAAAUCCUAAAGCUAACCCUAACCUAGCUCAAUUGAUCAAUCUUUGCACAUAAUCGAGAAUCGAUUAGCUUCAAGCUCAAAAAUUAAGGACAAUAGGUCCUGAAGUCCUUAACUUAGACUAACAAGCUCAAAAGUUAAGGACAAUAGGUCAUGAACUUAGGAUAAGAAACCAAAAAGUUAAGGACAAUAGGUCUUGAAGUCCUGAACUUAGAGUUGCAAGUUCAAAAGUUAAGGACAUGUAGUUCUAAAAUCCUUCAAAAGUCAAGGACAUAAGCAGAAGGAUAUUUCGUCCGGGCAGUUAAGUUUAUUAAAGCAAAAGGGUAAUCGAGAAUCAAUUAGCUUCAAGCUCAAAAGUUAAGGACAAUAUGUCCUGGAGUCCUGAACUUAGACUAACAAGCUCAAAAGUUAAGGAUAAUAGGUCCUGAACUUAGGGUAAGAAGCCCAAAAGUUAAGGACAAUAGGUCAUAAACUUAGACUAACAAGCUCAAAAGUUAAGGACAAUAGGUCCCAAAGUCCUGAACUUAGAGUUACAAGUUCAAAAGCUAAGGACAUGUAGUCCUGAAGUCCUGAACUUAGAGUUCCAAGUUCGAAAAUUAAGGACAUAUAGUCCUGAAAGACAUGUAGUCCUGAAGUCCUGAAGUCAUGUUCAAAAGUUGAGGACAUGAGCAAAAAGGUAUUUUCGUCCGGGCAAUUAAAGUUUAUUAAAGCAGUGGCUAAAGUAGGGGUGUGCAUUCGAUUUAUUGAUUCGAUUUUGAUCCUUAUCGAUAAUUACUUAUUGAAUUUCUGGAUAAAAAAUAAAUACAACCUUAAAUAGUGGCUAUUCCCCAACACUUCUACAGUAGUAGUAUAGGUCCAAUUCUAUUUUCCAAAAUAAUGUAGGCCCAUUUCAAGUUUUUUGUGUUCGCAUAUCUCCAUUGCACGACAGUACUCGGAACGCUCAACUGAACGGUGAAAUGCAGAUCUCUGGUGGACCUUUGGUUGACAGAGGUAACAUUUCAAAGCAAGUGUGAUGCGCUAUUGUUCAUAUCCCUUCUACUUUCUCCUUUUACCAUAUAAACUAUAAAGUGAUUACUUGGGCUCUUUUUUUGCCAGAGAUAUAUGUAUAUUGUUUUGGGAAAUGUUCCUUCAUUUUAAUUUAUAUUUGAUGAAAAUAGUUAAUAUUUCAAUAUUUGAGUUUUUUUGGUUUUUAUACUCUAAAGCAACGUUUUUUAAUAUUAUCAUACUUCUGAGUUGUUCGAUGAAAGUCCCUUGCGGAUGUUUGUUUUGUAAUUUUAUGGCAGAUCUAAUUUUCUUGUAGAACUGCUUUUCAGUUGACAGUUACCUACUGUUUGGUGCAGUGUUUUGGAUAGCGCGCGGCGACAAAUAGCGAUUAGGGCCUGCUUUAGUGAGGCGAGAGGCGCGAAGCGAAGCGCUCGCCUUUUUGAUGUGAGGCGACAAUUUUUACAAAACAAUAAAAUAUUUUAUAUAUAACUAAAAACUCAAUAGCAAUAAUAUAUUAGUAAAUAUAUCAUUCAAAAAUUAAAGACUCAAACUCAAUAGAUAGUCAUAAACUCAUAGUAGAUUUAUAAAUUAAAAACUAAUAGUCUACACUCUAAAAGGCUAUUGCCUGUUAAAGACUCAACCGCAAUAGAUAGUCAUAGACUCAUAGUAGAAUUAAAUUAAAUACUAAUAGUCUAAACUCACCUUUCCAAAUAUUGGUUGUUGUGACCAACGUCUCUUUCUCUCUCUUCCCCCCCCCCCCCUCUCUCUCUCCCUGCGACUUCCACUUCCCUCUCUCAGGUAAACACCAUCGGCAC
rnacentral:lncRNA from 1 species